rnacentral:rRNA from 1 species
GUGGGGAAUCUUGCGCAAUGGGCGAAAGCCUGACGCAGCCAUGCCGCGUGAAUGAUGAAGGUCUUAGGAUUGUAAAAUUCUUUCACCGGGGACGAUAAUGACGGUACCCGGAGAAGAAGCCCCGGCUAACUUCGUGCCAGCAGCCGCGGUAAUACGAAGGGGGCUAGCGUUGCUCGGAAUUACUGGGCGUAAAGGGCGCGUAGGCGGACAGUUUAGUCAGAGGUGAAAGCCCAGGGCUCAACCUUGGAAUUGCCUUUGAUACUGGCUUUCUUGAGUACGGGAGAGGUGAGGGAAACUCGGAGUGUAGAGGGGAAAUUCGUAGAUAUUCGGAAGAACCCCAGUGGCAAAGGCGACUCACUGGCCCGUUACUGACGCUGAGGCGCGAAAGCGUGGGGAGCAAACAGGAUUAAAACCCCCAGUAGUCC